rnacentral:rRNA from 1 species
CCUACGGGCGGCAGCAGUGGGGGAUAUUGCACAAUGGGGGGAACCCUGAUGCAGCGACGCCGCGUGGGUGAAGGAGCGUUUCGGCGCGUAAAGCCCUAUCGGCAGGGAAGAAGAUGACGGUACCUGACCAAGAAGCCCCGGCUAACUACGUGCCAGCAGCCGCGGGAAUACGUAGGGGGCAAGCGUUAUCCGGAUUUACUGGGUGUAAAGGGGGCGCAGACGGCAAUGCAAGCCCGGAGUGAAAGCCCGGGGCCCAACCCCGGGACUGCUCUUGGAAAUGCAUGGCUUGAGUGCAGGAGGGGAAGGCGGAAUUCCUAGUGUAGCGGUGAAAUGCGUAGAUAUUAGGAGGAACACCGGUGGCGAAGGCGGCCUUCUGGACUGUGACUGACGUUGAGGCCCGAAGGCGUGGGGAGCAAACAGGAUUAGAUACCCUUGUAGUC